GCCUUGCUGCAUAAUGCCAUCAUCCUACAAUACUGGACUGAACCUCUGAACCCGGAGUGAUACUGUUAGGAGGCCUGACCUUGGAGGAAGUGUGUCACUGAAGGGUGGUCUUUGAAGCUCCACCUAGUGCUGAAGAGUCAUUCUUCUCCUGAGUGCCUUAGGACCAAGAAGUAGAACUCUCAGCUAAUCCAGCACCAUGCCUGCCUGACAGGAUGCUGCCAUGCUUCCUGCCAUGAUGAUAAUGGACUGAAACUCAGAACCCAUAAACCAGCACCAAUUGAAUGUUUUCCUUUAUAAGAGUUGCUUUGGUCAUGGUGUCUUUUCACAGCAAUGAAAUCCCUACAUAAGACACUGAGAUAUAUUUAUGCAUAUACAGUGUGUGUAACAAGGCUAAAAAUAUAUGAAUGUUUAUAAAUUC
rnacentral:lncRNA from 1 species